CGUUCCGAAGGUGGUCACGGCGUGAGAUUGUUUGUAUUAUUUCCCCAACCGCUCAAAACCAAACUCUCAACACAUUCUCAGUUCCAUUUCAUUUCUCCGAUUCAUCUUCUUCUCCCGGCGAUUCCUGGUGACGACGAUCCAUUUCAGCUCACCUCUUGCCAUGGAGUCUUCUGCUGCUCUGCGAUCCUUCCACUAUUCUUUUGGUGUUCUAUCACAUGUGAGGUCUUCGCCAGAGAAGACUGGACUGGUCAGUAUGCAUCACUACAAGAAGGCCAUUUCAAGCAACAUGAGAGUUCAAGGGUUACCAUAUGGUAGGAGCCUUCUCUCUCCUUCCAAAAAGACAAGAGUGGCAGAAAUUUCAUGUGUAAAAACAUCAGACUCUGCCAUAUCAACCAAGACCAAGGUUUCCUCAGAGUGCAUUGGAAGUGUUCCAAUGUCAGUGGAGAAGAGGCCUCUUGAAGGUGCAACUUUUCCCAGUGGAUUUCAGGCAUUGUUACUGGAAGUUUGUGAUGAGACACAGAUUGCUGAACUGAAGCUAAAGGUUGGAAACUUUGAGAUGCAUGUGAAGCGUAAUGUAGGGGCGACAGAAGUCCCUGUACCAGUCAUAGCAUCACCUGUAACGCCACCACCUAUUCCAACCGAGCCUGUUAAUAAGUCCAGCUCUGGUGUUUCACCGCCAUCAGCACCAAAACCCUCUUCAGAGAAGGCUGCUCCAUUUAUGAAUGUCACCUUUGGGAAAUCAUCAAAACUCGAAGCAUUGGAAGCUUCAGGAUGUAGUGGAUAUGUUCUAGUAGCCUCUCCAACGGUUGGCUCCUUCCAAAAAGGAAAAACGGUCAAGGGAAAGAAGCAAGCUCCCAGCUGUAAAGAGGUAUCUCUCGCCUGCCUAUGGAUUUUGUAUCGGAAAUUCCUUCUUGUAAAAAUUUCACGGUGAUUAGCAUUACCGAAUUUUCAUUUUCUUGGAUCAUAGACAGCUAUCUAUGUCUUUCCUAUAGAGGUCCUCUUUUCAGUGUCUUGUAGAACUCCCCUCUCGCACACAAGCAUGAGCGUGAGCACGCACACUAGAUACUAAUGACUUGGCACAAUUCAAGAGGUUGUUGCUUUUUAAGAAACUGGAAUACGUUGGGACACUUUAGGGAUUGUCAGAAUGCCUCAGAAAAGGUAGUUCAUCUACGUAACAAAGUUAACUUUGUGGCCCAGCUUUUUAAGAGACUGGGAUCUGUUUGGGAAACCGUAGGGAUAUUUUGAAUGCCUAAAAAAAAGUCGUUCACCUACUUAACAAAGUCAACUCUGUGGUUCUGCAAUGUGGUAAAAUUCUUUGCAUGGAUGCAAUGAUAAAACUGUCUUUUAGAGAGAAUAUUAAUUGAAUGUGAUAUGUGUAUUAAGAUGAAUCUGGACUUUGAAAAUGGUGGCUCUCAUGCAGGUUACACUAUAUCGGAUGAUCCACAUUCAUUGUAGCACGUAACACAUUCACCUAAUGAUUACUAAUAUUUUACAGGCUCAUCUAAGAAAAUGACGUAUUAGUAAAUCAAUUGAGUUUUUUAGUGUCUGCUUCUUUCUUUUGACUUCUUUUCAUCCUGGCUGACAUAUUGCAUCCACACAUAGAUUGUCGAUUCUUUAGAAAUUUUCUCAUUGUGAAGAUGUUCUACACGACACCAAACUGUUGAUUCUAUUGAAGUUUAUCUCCUUGUGAUCAUGUCUACACAAUAUGGUAUGAUAUCUAGAUGCAAGUACUUGCAUGCUAGCACUCACUCAUACACAUGUGAAGUACGUAUGGAUGCAUGCAUACACGUGUCUACAGAUUAGCUGAAUUGGGUAGGUAUGUAAGAGCAAUAUCUGA